rnacentral:rRNA from 1 species
CCCCACUAUACCCUAACAAAAAAUAGCCACCAGAGUAGUAUAAAAUAGAAACUUAAAGAACUUGGCGGUUUUCUACAUCUUAUUGGAGGAGCUUGUUAUCUAAUCGAUAAUCCACGAGGAACCUUACCAGCUUUAGAAAAACAGCCUGUAUAUCAUCGUCGCCAGCUAACAUCAAAAAGAAAGUUAACAAAAAGAAAAUUAUUUCCAAACGCCAGAUCAAGAUGCAGCCAAUAAACUGGAGAUAAAUGAGCUACUUUAUUUUCCAACAGAGGAAUUCUUACUUAAAACAAAAACAAAAAAGGAUUCAACAGUAAUUUUUUACAGACAUAAAAAAUGAAACAAGCUCUAGAAUUCGUACACACCGCC